CCCGUCGUGGCGGAAUAGGCAGACGCGCUGGACUCAAAAUCCAGUGUUAGUGAUAACGUGUGGGUUCGACUCCCAUCGACGGGACCA
rnacentral:tRNA from 1 species